UGGUGGAGUGAUUUGUCUGGUUAAUUCCGUUAACGAACGAGACCUCAGCCUGCUAAAUAGGCGCUCGAGCUUUUUGCUCGCGGCGUCUUCUUAGAGGGACUUUCGGUUUCUAGCCGAAGGAAGUUUGAGGCAAUAACA
rnacentral:rRNA from 1 species